GACGAACGCUGGCGGCGUGCUUAACACAUGCAAGUCGAACGGAAAGGCCCUGCUUUUGUGGGGUGCUCGAGUGGCGAACGGGUGAGUAACACGUGAGUAACCUGCCCUUGACUUUGGGAUAACUUCAGGAAACUGGGGCUAAUACCGGAUAGGAGCUCCUGCUGCAUGGUGGGGGUUGGAAAGUUUCGGCGGUUGGGGAUGGACUCGCGGCUUAUCAGCUUGUUGGUGGGGUAGUGGCUUACCAAGGCUUUGACGGGUAGCCGGCCUGAGAGGGUGACCGGCCACAUUGGGACUGAGAUACGGCCCAGACUCCUACGGGGGGCAGCAGUGGGGAAUAUUGCACAAUGGGCGGAAGCCUGAUGCAGCAACGCCGCGUGCGGGAUGACGGCCUUCGGGUUGUAAACCGCUUUCGCCUGUGACGAAGCGUGAGUGACGGUAAUGGGUAAAGAAGCACCGGCUAACUACGUGCCAGCAGCCGCGGUGAUACGUAGGGUGCGAGCGUUGUCCGGAUUUAUUGGGCGUAAAGGGCUCGUAGGUGGUUGAUCGCGUCGGAAGUGUAAUCUUGGGGCUUAACCCUGAGCGUGCUUUCGAUACGGGUUGACUUGAGGAAGGUAGGGGAGAAUGGAAUUCCUGGUGGAGCGGUGGAAUGCGCAGAUAUCAGGAGGAACACCAGUGGCGAAGGCGGUUCUCUGGGCCUUUCCUGACGCUGAGGAGCGAAAGCGUGGGGAGCGAACAGGCUUAGAUACCCUGGUAGUCCACGCUGUAAACGGUGGGUACUAGGUGUGGGGUCCAUUCCACGGGUUCCGUGCCGUAGCUAACGCUUUAAGUACCCCGCCUGGGGAGUACGGCCGCAAGGCUAAAACUCAAAGGAAUUGACGGGGCCCCGCACAAGCGGCGGAGCAUGCGGAUUAAUUCGAUGCAACGCGUAGAACCUUACCUGGGUUUGACAUGGAUCGGGAGCGCUCAGAGAUGGGUGUGCCUCUUUUGGGGUCGGUUCACAGGUGGUGCAUGGCUGUCGUCAGCUCGUGUCGUGAGAUGUUGGGUUAAGUCCCGCAACGAGCGCAACCCUUGUUCACUGUUGCCAGCACGUUAUGGUGGGGACUCAGUGGAGACCGCCGGGGUCAACUCGGAGGAAGGUGGGGAUGACGUCAAGUCAUCAUGCCCCUUAUGUCCAGGGCUUCACGCAUGCUACAAUGGCUGGUACAGAGAGUGGCGAGCCUGUGAGGGUGAGCGAAUCUCGGAAAGCCGGUCUCAGUUCGGAUUGGGGUCUGCAACUCGACCUCAUGAAGUCGGAGUCGCUAGUAAUCGCAGAUCAGCAACGCUGCGGUGAAUACGUUCCCGGG
rnacentral:rRNA from 1 species